AGGACGAACGCUGGCGGCGUGCUUAACACAUGCAAGUCGAACGGAAAGGCCCUUCGGGGUACUCGAGUGGCGAACGGGUGAGUAACACGUGGGUGAUCUGCCCUGCACUUUGGGAUAAGCCUGGGAAACUGGGUCUAAUACCGGAUAUGAUCACGCGCCUCAUGGUGUGUGGUGGAAAGCUUUUGCGGUGUGGGAUGGGCCCGCGGCCUAUCAGCUUGUUGGUGGGGUAAUGGCCUACCAAGGCGACGACGGGUAGCCGGCCUGAGAGGGUGACCGGCCACACUGGGACUGAGAUACGGCCCAGACUCCUACGGGAGGCAGCAGUGGGGAAUAUUGCACAAUGGGCGCAAGCCUGAUGCAGCGACGCCGCGUGGGGAUGACGGCCUUCGGGUUGUAAACCCUUUCAGCACAGACGAGGCGCGAGUGACGGUAUGUGCAGAAGAAGGACCGGCAACUACGUGCCAGCAGCCGC
rnacentral:rRNA from 1 species